AGAAGUACUUUUAUACGUGACUUACACAAUUAAUACACAGGUAGAAGUACUUUGAUAUACAAUUAAUACAUGGUCAGAAGUACUUUGAUACGUGACUUACACAAUUAAUACACAGGUAGAAGUACUUUGAUAUACAAUUAAUACAUGGUCAGAAGUACUUUGAUACGUGACUUACACAAUUAAUAUACGGUUAGAAGUACUUUGAUACAAGACUUACACAAUUAAUACACAGUUAGAAGUACUUUGUUACAAGACUUACACAAUUAAUAUACAGUUAGAAGUACUUUGAUACGAGACUUACACAAUUAAUACACAGUUAGAAGUACUUUGAUACGUGACUUACACAAUUAAUACACAGUUAGAAGUACUUUGAUACGAGACUUACACAAUUAAUACACAGUUAGAAGUACUUUGAUACAAGACUUACACAAUUAAUACAUUGUGUGAUUUUCAUAAUAAAAAUAAUAAUUCAUUAUCUAACUAAGCAGCCUUUUAUUUAAAUAUUUAAUAAACAAAAAUUACCCAUAAGGUUUGAAAUAUACAGUUACAGAAUUCUGGAGUUAAACACUUACUAACUUAAGUGUGUAAUAGUAAAAUUUUACUGUGGCUAGACUGUUGUCACAACUGUGUUUUUUUUUCAUUGUUUUCGUUGAAGAUUUGUACAAGUUCAGUGUUGGACUAUAACAGCCUUGACUGAUUUCAGCUUUAUUGUUCAAUAGCUCAAACUAUUUGUUGUGGAAUUUUAAAUAUGUUUUCAGUUAUUGUUUAUGUACAUUGUAAAUUGUAUGUUAUGUUAAGAAAAUUACAAUUCAUUUUUUCAAUAAAUAUUUACUAAAUUA